GCAAAUAGUAUAUACCCCUUUCUCAUAUUUUUCCCUUUACUUUUCUCAAAGGUUUCUGCCGCUCUAACUCCCUUUCUUCUACCUGUCACUACCCAAAAUAAAACUGCCAUUGUUGCUCUGCCUCUCGUUUGCUGCUCUGCUGCCGCCGUUUUCCACUGAAGCCCAAAGUUACCAUUGGAUCUAACAGUUUCGGUCUUCAUUACAUUUGGGGAUUCGAUUGUCUUUAAUCCGACGGUUUCUUCUGCUGCUACGAGGGGAGCUUUUGGUCAAGAGAAUCUCAAAGACUCCAUUCUUUAGUUGACAGACCUACAUGUUUUAAGUUCGACAGUGUUCAUGGCUAAUGGAAGCACCAUGAGCUUAAGGUGAAGGACUCAAAAACCCUUCUCUUUGGUGAAAAACAUGUCACUGUUUUUGGUCUCAGAAAUCCUGAGGAAAUCCCAUGGGCUGAGGCUGGAGCCGUGUACGUUGUCGAGUCUACUGGUGUUUUCACCGACAAAGACAAAGCUACUGCUCACUUGAAGGGUGGUGCAAAGAAGGUUAUUACUUCUGCUCCUAGUAAGGAUGCGUUGGGUGGUUUUCAUUUAGGUAUGAGCGUUCAUGUUUCUUUCAC